UAUUAUUAUUUUAAACCAAUUUUAUAUAUAAUAAUAAUAAUAAAUUCAACUUUAUCUUGAAUUUAAAAUGUAACGUUGAAAUAAAAUUCAAUAGUCUUAAUAAAAAUAAAAAUUUUUCGGAUUAGAUAAUGUUUAUAAUGUCUAAAGUACGAUUUUUUUGCUAUAUAAAUUGAGGCAUUCUACAGCUAUGAUAUUAGAAUUCAAAAUUUUUGGAUCCUGCAUAAUCCUUCAUAAGUCUGCAACAAUGAAUACCCAAAUAUAUUUGUUUUUAUUAGUUGCUACUUUUGCGAUUGUUUCGAUUUUUGACGUCAUGGCUGAACCAGCAGCGGAUCCUGAUUCACGAUUUAAGAGAGAAGAUCCUGACUUAUUAAAAGAAUAAUAAGUGGAGUAUUAAAACCAGUAACAGGUUUAUUACAAAGCUUAUUAUAGUGUAACUGGAUUAGGAAAUGAUGUUAAAAACCUCUGAGUAGUAGUAGAAACAUCUUAACAUUGGACUACAAUAUACUCAAGAUAAUUUAUGACAUCAAAAGAUUAUGGUUAAUUGAUUAUGGCACUAUAUAUAUAUUUUAGCAGAAUUCUUAUUACAAGUAUUCUAUGGCAAUAUUAUUUGUAUGUAUCGUGAAAAAUUGCACGUAAUAAUAUUUUUGGUGUUGGGAUUAUAUAAAAUGUAAUAUGUUAAAAAUUAUAUUGCUUUAUUAUCAUAUAUCAAAAUAUAUCUGGUGUGAAUAAAUGUCUAUGCAAUACAA